UCGACUACAUGAAGCUGGAAUCGCUAGUAAUCGCGAAUCAGAAUGUCGCGGUGAAUACGUUCCCGGGUCUUGUACACACCGCCCGUCACACCAUGGGAGUCAGUAACGCCCGAAGUCAGUGACCCAACCGGACAGGAGGGAGCUGCCGAAGGCGGGACCGAUAACUGGGGUGAAGUCGUAACAAGGUAAC
rnacentral:rRNA from 1 species